UUAGGCAACCCCUGUGAAAGGGUCGUUCAACCUCCAAAGGGGUCGCGACCCACAGGUUGAGAACCGCUGCUCUACAGCCUUGAUAGAGAAUGGUGGUAAAAGAGAAAGGGGUUGUGAAUAAAUAUCAGUCUAAGCAACCAACAGUGUCUGCAAUAGCAGAAUGGGGAUACAAGGCCAAGAAAGAGAUUGUGCAGAAUUUUUCUCAUUCUGGGGUGGGUAUUAUCACUUUGGUGUGUGACCCUGGGUGUCCAGAAGAGACUACUGAUAAUAAAGCCAAAAGAGCUCUAGGUUCUCCUUAAGACAUCGCAGGAGUCAAAAUGAACCUUGCCCUGUCUUCAUUAGUACUUUGUAGCAGUAGUGAUAUUAUUACUCUUUACAAAGUGCUUUUUUUAGAGUAUUGCUAUGCCUGUAUUACAGUUGAAAAAGUAAACUCAAGAAGGUUAGUAUUGGUAACAAAUUCUCACUUGAAAGGCACUGAUUCUUUCCCUGCCGCUGCCCAGGGACACAGAGGCAGAAGCUCGGGGACAUUGGAUUCGGUUCCAUCUGUAACCCACUGCCAUGGCUGAGGAAGACAUUGUAACUGGUGGUGUAAUGGAUCUUAAAACUGCUUUACAAGAGGUGCUGAAGACAGGCCUCACCCAUGAUGGCGUAACAUGGAAUUCACUGCCAAAGCCUUCAACAAGCGCCAAGCUCAUCUUUGUGAGCUUGCUUCCAUCUGUGAUGAAACUGUAUAUGUCGAGUUGGUGGAGGCACCAAAUCAACCUCAUUAAGGUUGAUGAUAACAAGAAACUAGGGGGUUUCGUAGGCCUCUUUAAAAUUGAUGGAGAGGGAAAAACCCUUUAAAGUAGCUGGUUGCAGUUUGUGUGGUAGCUAAGGACUAUGGCAAAGAUUCUCAGGCUAAGGAUGUCAUCGAGGGGUACUCCAAAUGCAAGAAAUUAACAAAUGAAAAAUGACUCUUGUUAAAAUAAGUAAAUAAAAAAAAUUAAAUGGACACAAAUCCUCAUUUCCUCCCAGCAUGUGCCAUUCAACGACUCUUGACUCUUGGGCUUGAUAUGCACAGGAAAUGAUCCUUCUGUAAAAAUGGUUCUUUUCAGCACCCAGCUAAAGUCACACCCUCUGCCCAGUUGGUUAACUCUUCUUGUCCUGGAUGGAUUGUUCUUGAUUCAUGUCUCUGAUGUGGCAGAAGGACUUCUGAUCUGGGUCUUAGACCUGGUUUAGCAACUCUUUCAUUGCCUGACAUGGGCAAGUCACCAACCACUGUGUCCGCCUUGCCUGCUGUCAGAUUAGCGGCACAUGUGUUCCUCCCUGUCUUUUUACCAGUGCCUAUUACAUGCACAUAUUUGUGCCUCAUCCUCACCUUCUCCCUUCUUUCUUCCCAGAAAGUGAUGUCAGCAUCCAGCCCUGGAUGCUGACAGAUGCUCAGACCACCACUAAUGACAAUACAGGGGAGUGUGCUAGAUAAGGCUGUUCUGUUCAGAUCCUGGUUCACUGUGUAUUGUUUACAGAAGAAAUGUUCUAAGGUAGAGGAAGAGGAAGCUUGCCAAGGAUGUUUAAUGGGAUCUUGUAAACAUUUGUGUUCUGGGUAACUGUUAGUGUUUCUUAUUUGGGACUCUUUAUUUUAAAGAACUGAAAAGACUGUGUAGGUAAGAAUUCAGAAGUAUACACCAGCAUCAUUCCAUGCUGGGUUGGCAGGCACUGCUUAAAGACUCCAAUUCCCACAUCUUGCCUUCUUUCUUACCAUCAGAACCCUGAUUUUGCUCAAGGCAGCAAUAUGCCCAAUUUAAAAUACCUUCCCAGAUGCCCUUCCAUUUAGGAGUAGCCAUUGGACCCAAUUCUGGCUAAUGAGAUGUAGGUGCAAGCUGCUGGGUGGGGAGGCUCUCAGGAAACCUUUUCUAAAGGGGAAGAGCCUUAGCUGGCAUUUGCUUUUGUCUUGUUCUCUUCUUGUUCUUUUUUUGCUUGAAAUACAGACUCAAUGCCCAAGCAUCCAUCUUGCAUCGUGAACACAACAAUUACAUGCUGAAGAUAGCAGAGUAGAAAGAUAGAAUGACUGUAGGUCCUUGACAAUAUUAGACAGCUUCCUACCUGCUGACACCUUAUGUAACAAUAAUCAACCAAUUAAACAAAUAGACCAAAAAAAAGUCUAUUUGGCUAAUCAAUUAUAAUCCAGUUACUGUUCAAUACAAUCAAACACAAUCUUAAUUGAUAGACUAUUAAGACAUUGAAUGUGCUAUGAUAGAAAAUGGAUGCAAAUCGAUUGCAGAGUCCUUUAGAGCUAUGCUGGUCAAACUUUCAUGUGCAUAUAUACACACCACGUGGGGACCUUGUUAAAAACGGAGGCUCUGAUUUAGUAGGUCUGGGCUGGAGUCUGAGAUUCUGCAUCUUUCACAAGCUUGCGGCUGAUGCUGAUGAUGCCAUUCCUGAACCACGCCUUAAGAAGAAAUUGGGAAAUGACAGCUCUUUUGUCAGUCUGCUCCUAUAUUGUAGCUUUUCUGUUUUCCUUUGAUACACUUAUCAUUCAAUUAAAAAUCUGCAGAGGACUCAUUCAGUGCAUUUUCAACAAAAAGUUAAGGUUUUAUUUAGAAUAUCAUUUUAGAGACAAAAAAGCAGUUUGUUUUGUUUAGCAAAAUAAAUUUAACAAAUGCAUUUAAAUAAGGUAAAUUCAAGACUUUUGCGGAUUUUUUUCUCAGUUAGUUGCUUUUCUGUCUUGUUACUUGCAGUUUCUGCCUCCUAACCUAACUGGAUUCUUUCUAAGUUAAUGCAGCUUUAAUCCAAGAAACUACUUUAUGAAAUCUGAAUGACUCGAAUAUUCAUCUGUCUUCUCAUUCAACCUCAAUGUAUUAAAUGAAACAUAAGGAAAGCAACUUAGUGAAGUAGAUUCAGAAAGAAGUGCUUCUCCCUCUUGGUCAUGUUAUCUUUUCAACAAGGGACUUGCCGGCUCUGAAAUGGAUGUUGAAAGUAAAUUGUUUCUGGGAGGUGAUGACCAAAAGCAAACUUAGAUGGUUUUCACACUAACUGGCAUUAUGACCCAAAGGGAAAUACAAGUCACACCACUUUCUUAGCCAAGCCACUGCUUUACACAGAAGCAGCACAUAGCUUCCUAUUGUUAUUUUCAUUAGUUAUAAUAUACAUUAAAAAAAUAGAACAUUGUGUUAAAUAGCAGGACA